rnacentral:rRNA from 1 species
AUUGAACGCUGGCGGCAUGCUUUACACAUGCAAGUCGGACGGCAGCACAGAGAAGCUUGCUUCUUGGGUGGCGAGUGGCGAACGGGUGAGUAACGCAUCGGAACGUACCGAGUAAUGGGGGAUAACUGUCCGAAAGGACAGCUAAUACCGCAUACGCCCUGAGGGGGAAAGCGGGGGAUCUUAGGACCUCGCGUUAUUCGAGCGGCCGAUGUCUGAUUAGCUGGUUGGCGGGGUAAAGGCCCACCAAGGCGACGAUCAGUAGCGGGUCUGAGAGGAUGAUCCGCCACACUGGGACUGAGACACGGCCCAGACUCCUACGGGAGGCAGCAGUGGGGAAUUUUGGACAAUGGGCGCAAGCCUGAUCCAGCCAUGCCGCGUGUCUGAAGAAGGCCUUCGGGUUGUAAAGGACUUUUGUCAGGGAAGAAAAGGGGCAUGUUAAUACC